rnacentral:rRNA from 1 species
AGUGAACGCUGGCGGUAGGCCUAACACAUGCCAGUCGAACGGCAGCACAGUAAGAGCUUGCUCUUACGGGUGGCGAGUGGCGGACGGGUGAGGAAUACAUCGGAAUCUACUUUUUCGUGGGGGAUAACGUAGGGAAACUUACGCUAAUACCGCAUACGACCUACGGGUGAAAGCAGGGGAUCUUCGGACCUUGCGCGAUUGAAUGAGCCGAUGUCGGAUUAGCUAGUUGGCGGGGUAAAGGCCCACCAAGGCGACGAUCCGUAGCUGGUCUGAGAGGAUGGUCGGCCACACUGGAACUGAGACACGGUCCAGACUCCUGCGGGAGGCACCAGUGGGGAAUAUUGGACAAUGGUGGCAGGCCUGAUCCAGCCAUACCGCGUGUGUGAAGAAGACCUUCGGGUUGUAAAGCCCGUUUGUUGGGAAAGAAAAGCAGCAGGUUAAUACCCCGCUGUUCUGACGGUACCGAAUGAAUAAGCACCGGCUAACUUCGUG